GAGUUUAACUCAGGUGCGAGUCACGAGGUGGGAAAGCUCGCGGCGGAGAGAAGUCGACUGGCCUUCGGGCACGGCGCUUGAGCAUCUGUGCUAGAACCCGAAAGGAGGUGAACUAUGCCUGCACAGGUUGAAGCCAAGGGAAACUUUGGUGGAGGACCGCAAGUGUGGUGAUGUGCAGAUCCCUUUUCAGAUGUGGGUAUAGGGGCGAAAGACUCAUCGAACCUCCUAAUAGCUGGUUGUGGGCGAAGGAUCCCGAAGGAUCGCUGCGUUCAGAUAGUUAAGGGGGGUAGAGCAAUGGGUAGUGGUCUAGUGGGUCCUCGGGCCUGCAGCCAAUUUCCAAACUGCGAACCUUCUUGGUAUGUCGGAUUUCCGAGCAGGAAUCCUUCAGUGAAUAAUGAGCGCAAGUGGGCUCUGUCCGGUAAGCGGUCAUGGCGAAAAGGGAUGAACCUGAAGUUAGGUUAAGGUGUCCAAUAUCGCCAUCAAUGAUACCAUUAACGGUGUCCAUGUGCAUUGACAGCGGGGCGGUGUCCCUAACAGUAGGAAUCCGCUAAAGACCUGUGUUCAAACCCACUCGCCUAGCACUCGGGCCCGGAAAAUGAAUGACGCAUAUGGCGGAACCGAGACCUAGCACGUGCUCGCCGAGCAUGGAGUAGUCCACUGUGCAGUGCCCGGCGAAGGCUAGCAGUGAUGCGGGCUGAAGGGCAUUGUAUUACAGAUCCUAAUUGAAGUAGCGAUUAUCCACUUAAGAGAGUGGGGGCCGACGAGGAGUAGGGUUUCUGGGCAACUUUGAUAGUCCCAGAGUUAGCCGAUCCUAACCGGCUUUGCCGGGAAAGGGAACAAGGAUGAUAUUCCAUGGCUGCGCUGAUCACACGGCAACGGAAGCCCGUCGUAGCCGCCAAUCUGACACCUUAGGCCAGGGGUCUCUUUCCUGGUUGACACUUCUUGGUGCGAGGAAUCAGGUCAACUGGCGAGACCGCACCGGGGACGUGGCAUAGUGCAGUCUGGGCUGCAGCUUGGGCUGUUGGAUUGGCUCAGAAAGAUACGUCGGACAUAGAUCGCGCAUUCGUACCGAUGACCGCAUCAGGUCUCCUAGGUGAGUAGCCUAUGGCCAUUGAGGCGCGGUAGUUCAGGGAAUUCGGCCAAUUAGAGCUGUACCUUAGGAAGAAAGCUUGGCUCGGUUGAACAACCGAACUGAAAGUGACAAGGAGAGCCCAACUGUCUAAUAACAACGCAGUCUCGCGCUGUCCUUGUACAGGGAGCGAACGCGAGAUGAAUUCUGCUCAGUGCUGUGUCUGUUAAGAUGGUUCAAGCCAUUCAAGCACCGGUAAAUAGCUGGGGUAACUAUGACUCUUAUCAAAGUAGCGAAAUACCUCGUCACUUAAUUAGUGACCUGCAUGAACGGAGCUAUGAGGUUCUCACUGUCCCAAACUAUCUCUCAGCGAACCGACAGUUGUGGGAACGGGCACAAACUAUCCAGCGGGGAAAGAAGACCCUGUAGAGCUUCACUUUGGCUUAGUUUUGUAUGGUUUCGUCAGGGGUGCAGAACUAGGUGGGAGAGCAAUCGAUUAUGAGAAACCACUACCCUGAGUGGAAUUAUGCUUACCUCGCAGGAGGAAUCGAACUAGGUAGAAAGUUUGGCUGGGGCGGCACACCUUCGAAAGUGCAGCGAAGGUGUCCGAAGUUGAGCUCAGCGAGGACAGAAAUCUCGCGUGGAGGAUAAGGCCAAAAGCUCAAUUAACUGUGCCGUUACGUACUCGGAUCAGUUCCGAAAGGAUGGCCUAACGAUCCCUAAUUUGUCUCAGGGCGUGAGACUUGGGGUGACAGACAAGUUACCUCCGGGA
rnacentral:rRNA from 1 species